rfam:Dethiosulfatibacter aminovorans DSM 17477 genome assembly, contig: EJ55DRAFT_scaffold00042.42
GUCAAUAAAAUAUUUUUACCGCAGACAACUGGUGCGAAAGCUUAAUUUCCAGUCGAGGUGAAACGUGAUUGUAUUAAGGCAAUUAAUGGUUUCUUCGUUCUGCGGAGAAACCUUUUUUAUUAUAUUC